GAAAUGCGAUAAGUAAUGUGAAUUGCAGAAUUCAGUGAAUCAUCGAAUCUUUGAACGCACCUUGCGCUCCUUGGUAUUCCUUGGAGCAUGCCUGUUUGAGUAUCAUGAAAUCUUCAAAGUAAAUCUUUUGUUAACUCAAUUGGUUUCUACUUUGGUAUUGGAGGUCUUUGCAGCUUCACACCUGCUCCUCUUUGUUCAUUAGCUGGAUCUCAGUGUUAUGCUUGGUUCCACUCGGCGUGAUAAGUUAUCUAUCGCUGAGGACACUGUAAAAGGUGGCCAAGGUAAAUGCAGAUGAACCGCUUCUAAUAGUCCAUUGACUUGGACAAUACUUUUAUGAUCUGAUCUCAAAUCAGGUAGGACUACCCGCUGAACGUAA
rnacentral:misc_RNA from 1 species